AGGGAAUCAGAUUUCAUUUGACUUUCAGAGAGAAACAAACCGUGGGAUCGGAUGUUUUGACAGUUCAAACAGUACAGUCGUAGUUACCAAGAUGAACUUAAUCGUCCACAGCACAAAUUAGUUCAUUCGCAUCCAGGAACACACACAAAGAUUAAAAAGAAUCAGGAAUCUUUAUUAGUGUAAACCCUGAUGCCUCACAUCUCAACUCGGUUGAACUGCUGAAAAGUUCUCAGACUGCCUCUCCGGGAAACAACGCGAAGCGUCGACUUCAGAGAGUCGAUCCCAGCGAUGCCUCUCGGGAUAAGGAAGUCUGCAGGAGCCACCGAGAGCACGCAGACGUACGGCAGCACUAUUUACAGACGUGCUUUGUUUCUGCCUCCUGUCCCUCAGUAGGCUCACGGCAUGCCAAUCAGUUCCCGUAGCCCCGAUCUGUGCUUCGGAUAUCAAAGUUUAUACUCACUCUUUAAUCUUGUGAGAUGAGAUGAUCAUCCCGAGGCCAUUAACCAGCAGCAGUCAACUGCUUCCUAUCUGGCGCCACACCAACGGGCAACCCGCCCCCGUCCC
ensembl:lncRNA